GAGGUUUUAGCUUAAUUAAAGUGUCUGAGUUGCAUUCAGGAUAUGUAUUUGUGAUUUACAGGCCUU
rnacentral:tRNA from 1 species